rnacentral:rRNA from 1 species
CCAGACUCCUACGGGAGGCAGCAGUAGGGAAUCUUCGGCAAUGGACGAAAGUCUGACCGAGCAACGCCGCGUGAGUGAAGAAGGUUUUCGGAUCGUAAAGCUCUGUUGUAAGAGAAGAACGGGUGUGAGAGUGGAAAGUUCACACUGUGACGGUAUCUUACCAGAAAGGGACGGCUAACUACGUGCCAGCAGCCGCGGUAAUACGUAGGUCCCGAGCGUUGUCCGGAUUUAUUGGGCGUAAAGCGAGCGCAGGCGGUUAGAUAAGUCUGAAGUUAAAGGCUGUGGCUUAACCAUAGUACGCUUUGGAAACUGUUUAACUUGAGUGCAGAAGGGGAGAGUGGAAUUCCAUGUGUAGCGGUGAAAUGCGUAGAUAUAUGGAGGAACACCGGUGGCGAAAGCGGCUCUCUGGUCUGUAACUGACGCUGAGGCUCGAAAGCGUGGGGAGCGAACAGGAUUAGAUACCCUGGUAGUCCACGCCGUAAACGAUGAGUGCUAGGUGUUAGGCCCUUUCCGGGGCUUAGUGCCGCAGCUAACGCAUUAAGCACUCCGCCUGGGGAGUACGACCGCAAGGUUGAAACUCAAAGGAAUUGACGGGGGCCCGCACAAGAAUGGCGAAUUCC